AUGAGAUACCCUGUUCAGCUCCUGGUGUUGCUUUUGCCCUGGAUAUCUGGAGUAACUGGGGUUAUUGUGAUGACCCAGGAUAUACCCUCCAUACUUGUAACUCCUGGAGAGGCAGUCUCCAUCUCCUGCAAAUCUAGUAAAAGUCUCCUGUAUAGUGAUGGCAAGACUUAUUUGAAUUGGUACCAGCAGAGGCCAGGCCAGUCUAUACAGCUUCUGAUCUAUUUCUCAUCUACCCGUGCCUCUGAAGUCCCAGACAGGUUCAGUGGCAGUGGGUCAGGAACAGAUUUCACACUGAGAGUCAGUAGAGUAGAGGUUGAAGAUAUGGGUAUUUAUUUUUGUCAGCAAAGUCUAGAUAGUCCUCAUGGCUUUGGAUGA